CCCUGGUUAGCUCAGUUGGUAGAGCGCUUUACCUGUAAUGUAGAGAUCCCGGGUUCGAUACCUGGACCAGGCG
rnacentral:tRNA from 2 species